rnacentral:rRNA from 1 species
CCUACGGGAGGCAGCAGUGGGGAAUAUUGCGCAAUGGGCGAAAGCCUGACGCAGCGACGCCGCGUGAGGGAUGAAGGUCUUCGGAUCGUAAACCUCUGUCAGCAGGGAAGAACGGUCACUGUGCUAAUCAGCAGUGAAUUGACGGUACCUGCAAAGGAAGCACCGGCUAACUCCGUGCCAGCAGCCGCGGUAAUACGGAGGGUGCGAGCGUUAAUCGGAAUUACUGGGCGUAAAGCGCUCGUAGGCGGUAUGUCAAGUCAAGGGUGAAAUCCCCGCGCUCAACGUGGGAACUGCCUUUGAAACUGGCAAACUGGAGUGUGUGAGAGGAUAGUGGAAUUCCAGGUGUAGGGGUGAAAUGCGUAGAUAUCUGGAGGAACAUCAGUGGCGAAGGCGACUAUCUGGCACAUAACUGACGCUGAGGAGCGAAAGCGUGGGUAGCAAACAGGAUUAGAUACCCUUGUAGUC